rnacentral:rRNA from 1 species
UGAAAGUCAUAUGCUUGUCUCAAAGAUUAAGCCAUGCAAGUCUAAGUUUAAGCACAUAAACGGCGAAACUGCGAAUGGCUCAUUAAAUCAGUUAUCGUAUAUUUGAUAGUACCUACUACAUGGAUAACCGUGGUAAUUCUAGAGCUAAUACAUGCUUAAAAUCCCGACUUCGGAAGGGAUGUAUUUAUUAGAUUAAAAACCAAUGCCCUUCGGGGCUCACUGGUGAUUCAUAAUAACUUCUCGAAUCGCAUGGCCUUGUGCCGGCGAUGGUUCAUUCAAAUUUCUGCCCUAUCAACUUUCGACGGCUGGGUAUUGGCCAGCCGUGGUUACAACGGGUAACGGAGGGUUAGGGCUUGACCCCGGAGAAGGAGCCUGAGAAACGGCUACUACAUCCAAGGAAGGCAGCAGGCGCGCAAAUUACCCAAUCCCGAUACGGGGAGGUAGUGACAAUAAAUACUGAUACAGGGCUCUUUUGGGUCUUGUAAUUGGAAUGAGUACAAUUUAAAUCCCUUAACGAGGAACAAUUGGAGNNNNNNNNNNNNNNNNNNNNNNNNGGUNAUUUCAGCUCCAAUAGCGUAUAUUAAAGUUGUUGCAGUUAAAAAGCUCGUAGUUGAACCUUGGGCCUGGCUGGCCGGUCUGCCUCACCGCAUGCACUGGUCCGGCCGGGCCUUUCCCUCUGGGGAGCCGCAUGUCCUUCAUUGGAUGUGUCGGGGAACCAGGACUUUUACUGUGAAAAAAUUAGAGUGUUCAAAGCAGGCCUAUGCUCGAAUACAUUAGCAUGGAAUAAUAGAAUAGGACGUGUGGUUCUAUUUUGUUGGUUUCUAGGACCGCCGUAAUGAUUAAUAGGGACAGUCGGGGGCAUCAGUAUUCAAUCGUCAGAGGUGAAAUUCUUGGAUCGAUUGAAGACUAACUACUGCGAAAGCAUUUGCCAAGGAUGUUUUCAUUAAUCAGGAACGAAAGUUAGGGGAUCGAAAACGAUCAGAUACCGUUGUAGUCUUAACCAUAAACUAUGCCGACUAGGGAUCGGACGAUGUUAUUUCUUGACUCGUUCGGCACCUUACACGAAAGUAAAGUUUUUGGGUUCU